ACAUGCCUACAACAUAGUAUUAAUGCACCAGAUCCCAUUAGAACUUUUCAAUUAAGCGCACUCGGGCUAGAGUAGUACUGGGAUGGGUGAUCGCUCAGGAAUUUCUUGUGUUUUACAUGCC
rnacentral:rRNA from 1 species